rnacentral:rRNA from 1 species
UACACUCCUGCGGGAGGCAGCAGUGGGGAAUUUUGGACAAUGGGCGAAAGCCUGAUCCAGCCAUGCCGCGUGCAGGAUGAAGGCCUUCGGGUUGUAAACUGCUUUUGUACGGAACGAAACGGCCUUUUCUAAUAAAGAGGGCUAAUGACGGUACCGUAAGAAUAAGCACCGGCUAACUACGUGCCAGCAGCCGCGGUAAUACGUAGGGUGCAAGCGUUAAUCGGAAUUACUGGGCGUAAAGCGUGCGCAGGCGGUUAUGUAAGACAGUUGUGAAAUCCCCGGGCUCAACCUGGGAACUGCAUCUGUGACUGCAUAGCUAGAGUACGGUAGAGGGGGAUGGAAUUCCGCGUGUAGCAGUGAAAUGCGUAGAUAUGCGGAGGAACACCGAUGGCGAAGGCAAUCCCCUGGACCUGUACUGACGCUCAUGCACGAAAGCGUGGGGAGCAAACAGGAUUAGAAACCCUAGUAGUCCCAUG